rnacentral:lncRNA from 10 species
GUUUCCGGUCCGGUGGGUACAAGAUGACGGAGCCGGGCGCCUCUCCCGAGGACCCUUGGGUCAAGGUGGAGUAUGCCUACAGCGACAACAGCCUGGACCCCGGUGAGUAGCUGCCCCAUCUUAAGCUCUAGAGGGACACUCCCGCCCAGGCUCUCUAGAUUCUUGUGGCGUUGCCAACCACGCCUGAGCACAGUCCACUCUCCCUGAGCAGAGUUCCUGGCUUGAGACAGCAGGAGCUGAAGGACAAGGGCAGAAAACAACUGAGGGUGACACCUAGUUCCCUCUGCUCUGGAACAGGGAAGUGGUGGAACUGAUCACUCACCACUCAGUGGAGCAGCUGAUCACUCACACCCUCAUCACGUCCACAUGCCCGUUUGUGAGCCAGGGGGGUAUCAUGCAGGCCUAUGGAGCAGUGUAGACACUAGGGAGCAGAGCACUGCAGCGUGGUCUGGCAGGAAGUGGGGGGCCCAGUAUGGUUGGCUUUGGGUUGAAGGGAAGAGGUCAGCAUUUAAGAAAGCCAUUGUGUGGCCGGGCGCGGUGGCUCACCCCUG